rnacentral:misc_RNA from 1 species
UCUCCGUUGGUGAACCAGCGGUGGGAUCAUUACAGAGUUGCAAAACUCACAAACCAUUGUGAACGUUACCUAUCCCGUUGCUUCGGCGGGCGGCCCGAGCCCCGCGCCCGGCGCCCCCCGGCCCCCCGUGGGCGCCCGCCGGAGGUAAACCAAACCCUUGAAUUGCAUGGCCUCUCUGAGUCUUCUGUAACGAAUAAGUCAAAACUUUCAACAACGGAUCUCUUGGUUCUG